AUUGAACGCUGGCGGCAGGCCUAACACAUGCAAGUCGAGCGGAUGAAGGGAGCUUGCUCCUGGAUUCAGCGGCGGACGGGUGAGUAAUGCCUAGGAAUCUGCCUGGUAGUGGGGGAUAACGUCCGGAAACGGGCGCUAAUACCGCAUACGUCCUGAGGGAGAAAGUGGGGGAUCUUCGGACCUCACGCUAUCAGAUGAGCCUAGGUCGGAUUAGCUAGUUGGUGGGGUAAAGGCCUACCAAGGCGACGAUCCGUAACUGGUCUGAGAGGAUGAUCAGUCACACUGGAACUGAGACACGGUCCAGACUCCUACGGGAGGCAGCAGUGGGGAAUAUUGGACAAUGGGAGAAGGCCUGAUCCAGCCAUGCCGCGUGUGUGAAGAAGGUCUUCGGAUUUUAAAGCACUUUAAGUUGGGAGGAAGGGCAGUAAGUUAAUACCUUGCUGUUUUGACGUUACCAACAGAAUAAGCACCGGCUAACUUCGUG
rnacentral:rRNA from 1 species